rnacentral:lncRNA from 1 species
GGCCACCACAGCCAAAACGGCCUGAAACCAAUCUUGUUCUUGUUCCCCAAUGAGAUGGCGCAACCCACUCUGGGGGAUCGACCAUGAAUCGGGCGG